rnacentral:tRNA from 1 species
UGGGUUGUGGCUCUGCGGUAUAGCACUUGCCUAGCAUGCGUGAGGCACUGAGUUCAAUUCUCAGCACUGCAU